CAGCCGCCGCGGUAAUACCAGCACCUCAAGUGGUCAGGAUGAUUAUUGGGCCUAAAGCAUCCGUAGCCGGCUCUGUAAGUUUUCGGUUAAAUCUGUACGCUCAACGUACAGGCUGCCGGGAAUACUGCAGAGCUAGGGAGUGGGAGAGGUAGACGGUACUCGGGAGGAAGUGGUAAAAUGCUUUGAUCUCUCGAUGACCACCUGUGGCGAAGGCGGUCUACCAGAACACGUCCGACGGUGAGGGAUGAAAGCUGGGGGAGCAAACCGGAUUAGAUACCCGGGUAGUCCCAGCUGUAAACUAUGCAAACUCAGUGAUGCAUUGGCUUGUGGCCAAUGCAGUAUUGCAGGGAAGCCGUUAAGUUUGCCGCCUGGGAAGUACGUACGCAAGUAUGAAACUUAAAGGAAUUGGCGGGGGAGCACCACAAGGGGUGAAGCCUGCGGUUCAAUUGGAGUCAACGCCAGAAAUCUUACCCGGAGAGACAGCAGAAUGAAGGUCAAGCUGAAGACUUUACCAGACAAGCUGAGAGGUGGUGCAUGGCCGUCGCCAGCUCGUGCCGUGAGAUGUCCUGUUAAGUCAGGUAACGAGCGAGAUCCCUGCCUCUAGUUGCCACCAUUACUCUCAGGAGUAGUGGGGCGAAUUAGCGGGACCGCCGCAGUUAAUGCGGAGGAAGGAAGGGGCCACGGCAGGUCAGUAUGCCCCGAAACUCUGGGGCCACACGCGGGCUGCAAUGGUAAUGACAAUUGGUCCCAAAUCCGAAAGGAGGAGGUAAUCCCCAAACAUUACCACAGUUAUGACUGAGGGCUGCAACUCGCCCUCACGAAUAUGGAAUCCCUAGUAACUGCGUGUCAUUAUCGCGCGGUGAAUACGUCCCUGCUCCUUGCACACACCGCCCGUCGUUUCAUUGAAGUGAGCUUUUAGCGAUGUGACGUCUAAUUGGCGUUAUUGAACUUGAGGUUCGUGACAAGGGAAAAGUCGUAACAAGGUAACCGUA
rnacentral:rRNA from 1 species